AUGAACGCUGGCGGCGUGCUUAACACAUGCAAGUCGAACGGGAAUUAUUUUAUUGAAACUUCGGUCGAUUUAAUUUAAUUCUAGUGGCGGACGGGUGAGUAACGCGUGGGUAACCUGCCUUAUACAGGGGGAUAACAGUGAGAAAUGGCUGCUAAUACCGCAUAAGCGCACAGAGCUGCAUGGCUCAGUGUGAAAAACUCCGGUGGUAUAAGAUGGACCCGCGUUGGAUUAGCUGGUUGGUGGGGUAACGGCCCACCAAGGCGACGAUCCAUAGCCGGCCUGAGAGGGUGAACGGCCACAUUGGGACUGAGACACGGCCCAGACUCCUACGGGAGGCAGCAGUGGGGAAUAUUGCACAAUGGGGGAAACCCUGAUGCAGCGACGCCGCGUGAAGGAAGAAGUAUCUCGGUAUGUAAACUUCUAUCAGCAGGGAAGAUAGUGACGGUACCUGACUAAGAAGCCCCGGCUAACUACGUG
rnacentral:rRNA from 1 species